CUCACUAACACAUCAUCUAUGUCUUUAUCAGUAACAAUAAUGAUAAAUCCUGUGGUCUUGGGGGGCAAACCAGUCUGGGAGGGGACAUUACAUUCAGUCAACCAAUGACUUUGCCGCUCUUUGUAUCUGUCCAUGUAUGGUAACGAAAAGAAAGACCCUCCAGUGGAAUAGUCAAGUGUCUCAGUCACGCCAGUGAAUGUGAGUUAAUAUGGAGAUGCAGUUGAUAGUCCUGAUUGUCCUACACUGGGUCUCUUCAGUGUCCUCAAAUAUGACCAGAGUGGUCAAACCUGGGGAUACUGUCUGUAUGUCCUGUAACGUACCUCACAAGAACUCAACAAAGUGGUUCGGACAAGAGAGCAACAAGACACCCUUUGUCAUCAUAUCGGCCAAACAGAGUGAAGUUAAGAAAAAGGAAGUUCUAAAUAAAUUCCUCCACGGCAACAACAAUGCAUUCAGCACAAAGUUAGAGGACAACGGCACCAUCAGUCUGAACAUCAGCAACAUUACUAAGUCUUUGCUGGGAUUCUACUAUUGUACUUCAGGAAUCGACAUAGAACUUAAAGUUGGAUCCGGUUACGUUCUUAAAUAUGACAAGUGUUUUGUUUCAUCUAAAAGUGAUAAUGAUGAAAAACUGGAUGGAUGUUCAACAGGUCCUCCUGAGUCUUCAGACGGUCCUACUGGGUGUUCAGGGCAGUGCUGGGUGAGGAUGGCCAUUUUCUGUCUUCUCAGUGCUGCUUUAGUGGGACUGUUGGCCUUUAUUCUUUCCUGGAUCCUUCACAGAAAAGGAAACAAUGAAUCAGACAGAAUAAAAACAGACCAGGGACACAGCAAUGAUGAACAGGGAGGGGAAGAGGGAGUUCUUAACAGCUCUUUGCAUUUCUCAAAGGAAGAUCACCGUGGCAAAAGAAAAAUCACACAUCAUUAAUGUGAUCCUGUGUAUCUUUAUCAGCUAAUGUUACAUUUAGAACAUGCUGAAAUUAUGUUUUAAUGUGAGUACAGCUUCUAGUACAUACAUUAUCUACCUUGUGGACUGUAUUUGUACAAUGUUGUCCUUUAAAACAUACAUGUAUUUUUAUUGUUAUAAAGUCCUUCGGCAUGUCUUGUGCUGCAUUUCAAUAGCCUACCAAUCAGAAUUUACAUACUGAUUGGCGGUUCAUACCUUAUUUCUAUUUCACCUUUCUAUUGGGUAUUCAAUAAGUCCCUCGUUGUGCUUGGCCUAUCCGGACCGUGGAUUUAACUGAAUAUAGAGAAUAAUAUAUAGUGGAAAAAAGGCUUGAAAUAGUUAAACAAAACAGCAACUUUUAUGGCGUCAUAGAAUUACGGAACGUCCGCAGUCAAAGUUCUCUAUUCCAGAAUUUAAGAGUUUCUUGCAGUCUCUGUUCACUGUAGAUUGUCUUGAAAUAUUCAGGGGACUUUCAGAGUGGAAGGGAGAUGUUCCAUUGUGGGGAAAAGUGAGUGGAAAAAAAU
ensembl:lncRNA